rnacentral:rRNA from 1 species
AGUGAACGCUGGCGGUAGGCCUAACACAUGCAAGUCGAACGGCAGCACAGUAAGAGCUUGCUCUUACGGGUGGCGAGUGGCGGACGGGUGAGGAAUACAUCGGACUCUACUUUUUCGUGGGGGAUAACGUAGGUAAACUUACGCUAAUACCGCAUACGACCUACGGGUGAAAGCAGGGGAUCUUCGGACCUUGCGCGAUUGAAUGAGCCGAUGUCGGAUUAGCUAGUUGGCGGGGUAAAGGCCCACCAAGGCGACGAUCCGUAGCUGGUCUGAGAGGAUGAUCAGCCACACUGGAACUGAGACACGGUCCAGACUCCUACGGGAGGCAGCAGUGGGGAAUAUUGGACAAUGGGCGCAAGCCUGAUCCAGCCAUACCGCGUGGGUGAAGAAGGCCUUCGGGUUGUAAAGCCCUUUUGUUGGGAAAGAAAAGCAGCAGGUUAAUACCCCGCUGUUCUGACGGUACCCAAAGAAUAAGCACCGGCUAACUUCGUG